AUGACCAGUGAGUGGCAGCGCCGAGGCGGCUCCACCAUCAUGGCGCGAGCAGCUGCAGCUACACAUGAUGUCUGGUGUGCCGAUGCUGCCACAGUAGUGCUGGGGGACGACGCCCCAGCCUGUUACAAGAAAUGGAGGCUGCUUUAUGAACGAAAUGCACAUGGGAGAAGAGAGACUGCGGCCGACCAAAACAAUGACACUAUUGGCAGUAUUAUUAGCACACAAGACAUGAAUGUAUUGUCUAAGACAAAAACAGAGAAUGAUUGCUCAACUUUGAAGACAAGAUUUCAAGUUGGGAACUGA
rnacentral:rRNA from 1 species